GCUCAUGUAGCUCAGUCGGUAGAGCACUUCCUUGGUAAGGAAGAGGUCACAGGUUCGAUUCCUGUCAUGAGCA
rfam:Xanthomonadaceae bacterium 3.5X genomic scaffold scaffold1, whole genome shotgun sequence.